rnacentral:rRNA from 1 species
AGAGUUUGAUCCUGGCUCAGGAUAAACGCUGGCGGCGCACAUAAGACAUGCAAGUCGAACGGACUUAAUACCUUGCUUGCAAGGUAAGCGGUUAGUGGCGGACUGGUGAGUAACACGUAAGAAAUCUGCCUAUCAGAGGGGAAUAACAGUGAGAAAUCAUUGCUAAUACCGCAUAUGCCAUAUUUAUCGCAUGAUAGAAGUGGGAAAGGAGAAAUCCGCUGAUAGAUGAGCUUGCGGCUGAUUAGCUAGUUGGUGGGGUAAGAGCCUACCAAGGCGACGAUCAGUAGCCGGACUGAGAGGUUGAACGGCCACAUUGGGACUGAGAUACGGCCCAGACUCCUACGGGAGGCAGCAGUCGGGAAUAUUGCGCAAUGGAGGGAACUCUGACGCAGUGACGCCGCGUAUAGGAAGAAGGUUUUCGGAUUGUAAACUAUUGUCCACAGGGAAGAAUAAGGACAGUACCUGUGAAGAAAGCUCCGGCUAACUACGUGCCAGCAGCCGCGGUAAUACGUAGGGAGCGAGCGUUAUCCGGAAUUAUUGGGUGUAAAGGGUGCGUAGACGGGAGAACAAAUUAGUUGUGAAAACCCUCGGCUCAACUGAGGACGUGCAACUAAAACUAUUCAUCUUGAGUGCAGGAGAGGAAAGUGGAAUUCCUAGUGUAGCGGUGAAAUGCGUAGAUAUUAGGAAGAACACCGGUGGCGAAGGCGACUUUCUGGACUGUAACUGACGUUGAGGCACGAAAGUGUGGGGAGCAAACAGGAUUAGAUACCCUGGUAGUCCACACUGUAAACGAUGGAUAC